rnacentral:tRNA from 1 species
CCCUCGUUGGCGAAACAGGGAUACGCACCGCACUCAAAAUGCGGCGCCGGCAACGGCAUGUCGGUUCGAGUCCGACACGAGGGA